rnacentral:rRNA from 1 species
UACGAAGGGUGCAAACGUUGCUCGGAAUCAUUGGGCGUAAAGAGCGUGUAGGCGGCUAUUUAAGUCCUGCGUGAAAUCCUGCGGCUCAACCGCAGACGGUCGUGGGAAACUGGAUGGCUAGAGUGCGGGAGAGGAGAGUGGAAUUCCCGGUGUAGCGGUGAAAUGCGCAGAUAUCGGGAAGAACACCCGUGGCGAAGGCGGCUCUCUGGAACGCAACUGACGCUGAGACGCGAAAGCGUGGGGAGCAAACAGG